AGAUUAUGUGAAAUCAAAACACAUCUCCCUGGAAGUUCCCCUUGUGGCUCAGUGGUAAUGAACCUGACUAGUAUCCUUGAGGAUGCAGGUUCAAUCCCUGGCCUCGCUCAUGACAACACACAUACUUUACCAGGCUGGCUUGAAUAUUAUAAGCAAUAAUCCAUGUGAUGCACCUGUCACAGUGCAAGGCAUGCUUUGAGUGCAUAAAUAAGCUUUAGGCAUUACUACUGUUUUCUGUGACGCUCUGGAGCAGGACAUGCAAGGGUCUGUAAACUACGAGAGAGGACAACUUCUCCUCCUUCCCAAAGGGACUCAGCAAAAUUGGGAGCUCGCCCCAGCAAGAUUGGGAGCAACUGCUGUGGGAUGCAAAUCAAGAAAUCUUUAAAAGAGGAGAGUGAGUGAGCUUAUGCAGAAAAAUUACACAGGGCUGUCUGAUGGCUGGUAAGAGCACUCUCAAAGGUCCCCAGACCAAAGCAUAUUGUGAUUCCAAAGAACACUGUGAUUCCAAGAACACUUAGCAAAGAAUACUGAGGUUUUAUAUAUUUCUCCUAACCAGAUCCAUUGUUUCUCCUUGUUCAAAUUCCCUCCGUGACCUCUUCCCCUCUGGAACUUCCUCAACAGACAUGGAUACCAGGUUGAGACAGAGAGAGUCAAGGAUGUCUCCUUCAUAGAGUAAGAAGACGCCCUGAAGAACAAGGCUGGGCUGAUGCACAGGAGAGGGUAGGCAGGGUGACCCUAGGGUCACAGGAGCACAGUAGUAAAAUCACAGAGACCAACUGAGCACACAUUCUUCCAGCAGCUGCUUCCUAACAAAGGUUAUCCUGAGAUGUGUGUAAUCAAGAAUCAAUAAAAGGAUAAGGUGGUGGUGGGUAGUUAGUUAUUCCUCAAGAAGCAAAAAAAAAAAAAAAAAAAAAAACCACAAAUGUGAAUAGAAUAUGUGCAUGCACAUAAGAAGAAUUAAAGCCAUGCUUGGUACACUUAGAGAAAAUUACAUUCCUGGCUUCAGACAUGUAUACUCUGCUGUGCUCGGAAACUCAAGAGUGAGAAGUAUUCUGUCAAUGACCCCAGCUCUUGAAAAUACAAGUGCCAUACAGAAAGAGAACACCGUACACUCGAUAAAGAGGAGGGCUGGAGAGAGAUAUUAUCUUCAUCCAAAGGGCUAGCUGCACUUUCCUUCCUAAAAGCAAAUCAAAACCAUUCAUCUAUCAUAACUGUUCUUCAGACUGCAUGUCUGGCCCACACCUGAAAUUUUCUUUAUUCUUUGAGGAGAAGACACAGAUGCACAGGGCUGCCCCACCAGAAAAGUUAAAUAAAAAACUAAGCUUAGCUCACUCCUUAACUAACAGCAGGCAUAGCCCAGAUAGGGGAAUAAAUGAAAAGCUAACAAGCCCCCUAAGCUCUAUCAAGAAGGAAGUUCCCAGGUCAGAAUGGCUCAGCCCCUUGGAUAUAGGAAUGUCUCAACUGGAUGAUGCCUCACUUUCUGCUUGUGAACCAAUUAACUCAGAGGAUCUCAAUGAUGGACUCUCAGUUCCUAGCUGAGGCACUCUGCAACUUAUUUUUAAAGGCGCCUGGAAAAAAAUGUUCCUGCAUCUCUGGAGACCAAUCUGUAGGUAAUAAUCACUUGUGAGUCAAAGUUUUUCACGUCUAACCAAACUAUCUUUAACAAAGAUGAAAGUCUAAUUAUUUUUUUUUUUCACAGUUCUUUCUACCAGUCCUCACGGUAAAUGCAGUAAGCAUAUAUCCAGAGGUAGACAGUCCCAAUUUCUUGCACUUUUUUCUUCUUCCAAAAGAGAGUAAAUCUAUAAUAAAAUUUGACACAAUUUAUAGGCCUUUGUAAAACUUUGCCUGUCCUUAUAUUCACAAACUGGGGGAAAAAUUCUGUGACAAAAAGGAUGUUUGGCUUCAGAAAAACAUGGUCACUGCAUCUGUAGAAACAGGCAAGAGCCAACUCAAACUUAGAAUAAACCUACAAGCAUACCCAGAAAAAUCACAAAGAUGCUUCCAGCUCCCAAGUUCCAAGAUUCUUUAUUUUCUUCACAACAUUUAGUACAGUGUGUCAACCAUGCUACAGACUC
ensembl:lncRNA